rnacentral:rRNA from 1 species
GCAGCGGGAUUGAAGCUUGCUUCAAUUGCCGGCGACCGGCGCACGGGUGAGUAACGCGUAUCCAACCUUCCGCUUACUCGGGGAUAGCCUUUCGAAAGAAAGAUUAAUACCCGAUUGUAUCUUAAGCACGCAUGAGAUUAAGAUUAAAGAUUUAUCGGUAAGCGAUGGGGAUGCGUUCCAUUAGGCAGUUGGCGGGGUAACGGCCCACCAAACCUACGAUGGAUAGGGGUUCUGAGAGGAAGGUCCCCCACAUUGGAACUGAGACACGGUCCAAACUCCUACGGGAGGCAGCAGUGAGGAAUAUUGGUCAAUGGGCGAGAGCCUGAACCAGCCAAGUAGCGUGAAGGAUGACGGCCCUACGGGUUGUAAACUUCUUUUGUGCGGGAAUAAAGGAGCCUACGUGUAGGCUUUUGCAUGUACCGUAACGAAUAAGCAUCGGCUAACUCCGUGCCAGCAGCCGCGGUAAUACGGAGGAUGCGAGCGUUAUCCGGAUUUAUUGGGUUUAAAGGGAGCGUAGACGGGUUUUUAAGUCAGCUGUGAAAGUUUGGGGCUCAACCUUAAAAUUGCAGUUGAAACUGGAGACCUUGAGUACGGUUGAGGCAGGCGGAAUUCGUGGUGUAGCGGUGAAAUGCUUAGAUAUCACGAAGAACCCCGAUUGCGAAGGCAGCCUGCUAAGCCGCCACUGACGUUG